GUUCAUUUCAUGAGAGCUGGCAGUGAGUUUCUGCUGAGACCAGGAGGAACUGGACCAGCUGGACAUCCCAAGGAGACCCGAGGAGGUGAAGCUCUGAGUUCCUACCAUGGAGAAGGUCCUUUCUCCAUAACUUUUGUCACCUCAGCGCUUGGGGCUUGCUGCAGAUGUAUGGCCGGUGCUGUGAGCAGCUUGAACUCUCAACAAUACCAUUGUACAAAUACGCACACUCUGCCUCACCACGCACGUCAAACCUGCAACAAGCAGCACAGACACCGCUGGGACCGUGGGGGUGGCAGUUGUCCCCUCAAGGCACCAGGAGGAGACAAGGGCUGCCUGCAAGGGACAGCCCCAGCAGACACCUCUCACCAGGACCCUGCCCGUCCCACCACAGGACGGUCUCCCCACGGGACUCACAUCUGGUUGAAGCUGCUGCCAUCCACCCACUCCAGGUGCUCGCCCCGUCUCCGCAGCCCAAUCCAGGGAUCCAUGUCACCCUUGAGGAGCGAGAGGAACUCCUGGGCAGGAAAGAGAGAAGCCAACAGUCAGGAGAUGCUGCCAGUCUCACACCAGUCCCCAGUUCCUAUGCCGGCCCCACACAUCUACCACCAGCCCUGGGAUGGCAGCAGCUCCCACCCCACGCCUGCUCCAACAAGCUCCAGAGCUGCUGCAGGAGAUCACCAGCCCACACAGUGCUCUUGGUCCUGCUCGGACACAGCUCUGCUCCCACCCUGGGCUCUGCACCCAAACCAGGAACCACCCCCACGCACCCACAACAGCCCCUCACUCACCAUUUCCCACUCCCUCCUCAGCACGGCCAGCGAGGCCCCANCAGGCACAGCUGGAUCCCCUCCACAUGUUCUUGCUGGAGAGGGAAGGGGAGAAGGGCAGAGGAUUGGGCUGCGCAGGGAGCAGGGGACACAGCUCCGUGGGGCAGGGAAGGAGGCAGCCGCUCCUCCCUUACCUGAGAGUCCAGCAACAGCUGCGGCCAGAGCCAGGACCAGAGCCACCAGCACAGCCACCACCAGGACCUGUGUCCUUCUGCCUGUAGCCCCAGGCACCUUUGGAUGGGGGGACUCUUCUCCCUCCUGGGGAUUCAGGGGCUUCUUAACACUCCCAUUGCUGCAGCAGAACCCCUUCUUCACCACCAUGGCACUCUGAAAAGUGAAACCACUUCACUCACAAGCAACAGGAUCUUGCCCGGUCCAAGCCUGGCUUGGAUCCAGUCAUUCCACUGCUGCUCUUAUUGUUGUGCUGGGAGAGGGCAGAGAAGAUGACUCAGUACACCAGAAUGAUUAAUUCUUUUAUCUGGCACCAGGCCUGGCUUUUGCAGAGCAGCCGGGACCACACGUGGUCACCCAGGCUCAGGAAGGCGAUCCCCACGCACCCCUGUUCUGUCCCUGCUCCCCCCAGAAACGCUGCAGCCUGUUCCCAGCAACUGGGGGGACAGACACAGCCUCGGGGAGCUCAGGAACCAGCCCUGGGCCACCAGCCACCACCCUCCCCACAAAAGCCAGGGUAAACAACACUGAGAGGCUGAUCAAGGAAGAAGGAAGGCAGAUAAAGCGAUGAAGACAGACAAGUCUUUGCAUUUCCCUACAGGCCAACUCCUCCAGCUGAGCCCUGCACCCCGGGCUCCACCAGCCAAGGCAGAAACCCCAACCCCCAGCAGCUGCUGGAGCCCCAGCUCUCUCUCCCAGGCCAAUUCCUGGCCCGGAGAGCGGGCAGAGAGGCUCCGUCUGCACAAGGGCACUGGGCUGCUCCCUCCAGAGCUCGGCCAAGGGCUGGGCUAAGGUCAAUAACCCAUAUUUUUAGUUGUUUGUGUAACACACUCUAGUUCCCUGCCAAGAAAAGCAGAACCGCUUCCUCCCCAAAACCUCCCCCAGAGGACUCAAGCUCCAACAACUGAAGAUAGAGAUGGGGACUGUGCAGGGGGAGGUCCUGGAGCUGAACCCUCCCCCCCAGGAAAGCCCUGGUGGGAUCAGACCCUACCAGGAACCCAGUGCAGCCCAAGGGAGCCCUGGGGUCAAAGACAGCGGGGGACCCCCGAGCUCAGAGUGGGGGAUUUGGGCAGCAGCAGGGCCCUAUGGGGUCUGAGCCCACCCUGGUCGAGGGGUGGAAAUUGUUGGGGGGACACCUGGGUGUGGGGUGCAGUGGGAUU
rnacentral:lncRNA from 1 species